UCGCUUGGGGCUAGGAUCAUGAAACUUCAUAGGUACAUUGAUCAUGACUCGCAGAUGAACCCUAUUGAUUUUGAGGUCACUAGGUCAAAGGUCAAGGUCACGGUGACCCGAAAUAGUAAAAUGGUUUUUGAAUGAUAACUCAAGAACGCAUACGCCUAGGAUCAUGAAACUUCAUGGGUAGAUUGAUCAUGACUUGCAGAUGACCCCUAUUGAUUUUGAGGUCACUAGGUCAAAGGUCAAGGUCACGGUGACCCGAAAUAGUAAAAUGGUUUCCGGAUGAUAACUCAAGAAUGCAUACGCCUAGGAUCAUGAAACUUCAUGGGUAGAUUGAUCAUGACUCGCAGAUGACCCCUAUUGAUUUUGAGGUCACUAGGUCAAAGGUCACGGUGACCCGAAAUAGUAAAAUGGUUUUCGGAUGAUAACUCAAGAACGCAUACGCCUAGGAUCAUGAAACUUCAUAGGUAGAUUGAUCAUGACUUGCAGAUGACCCCUAUUGAUUUUGAGGUCACUAGGUCAAAGGUCAAGGUCACGGUGACCCGAAAUAGUAAAAUGGUUUUCGGAUGAUAACUCGAGAACGCAUACGCCUAGGAUCAUGAAACUUAAUAGGUAGAUUGAUCAUGACUUGCAGAUGACCCCUAUUGAUUUUGAGGUCACUAGGUCAAAGGUCAAGGUCACGGUGACCCGAAAUAGUAAAAUGGUUUCCGGAUGAUAACUCAAGAAUGCAUACGCCUAGGAUCAUGAAACUUCAUGGGUAGAUUGAUCAUGACUCGCAGAUGACCCCUAUUGAUUUUGAGGUCACUAGGUCAAAGGUCAAGGUCACGGUGACCCGAAAUAGUAAAAUGGUUUUCAGAUGAUAACUCGAGAACGCAUACGCCUAGGAUCAUGAAACUUCAUAGGUAGAUUGAUCAUGACUUGCAGAUGACCCCUAUUGAUUUUGAGGUCACAAGGUCAAAGGUCAAGGUCACGGUGACCCGAAAUAGUAAAAUGAUUUUCGGAUGAUAACUCAAGAACGCUUUUGCCUAGGAUCAUGACACUUCAUAGGUACAUUGAUCGUGACUCGCAGAUGACCCCUAUUGAUUUUCAGGUCACUAGGUCAAAGGUCAAGGUCACAGUGACAAAAAAAACGUAUUCACACAAUGGCUGCCACUACAACGGACAGUCCAUAUGGGGGGCAUGCAUGUUUUACAAACAGCCCUUGUUU